AGAAUAGUGAAAAAGACCCUGCGCCCACUCCGCCCCGUUCUCCUCCCCGCUCCCUCCAUCCUCUCCCAUGGCGCCGCCCCUCUUCUCCCCACUCGCCUCGGCCGCGUCUUCUCCUCCCCCGCGUCGUCGGCCCCUCCCUCCUCCUCCCCCCUCUCUCCUUCGUCAUCACACGGUUCUUCCGGCCAGUGUCGGGGUGCAGUUGACGGCGGCCUUAGCGGGUGGGCGAUGGCGGCCGCAGCUGAUGCACAAGCUCGCAUCGCCCUGGCGCCGAUCUCGCGCGGCUCCUGCGCCUCGCCACCCUCUUCUCCCCAGCUCAGCAGGAGGUUUGCGAGGCCACCACUUGGGCCGCUGCUGCCUCUUCCACCCAGCAGGAGGAGCACGAGGUGAGCAGCAACAACGGGGACAGGCGACCUCGGGGAGAGUUUGCGGAGGGGCGCAUAUCAGAUCCUUUCUGAUCCGAUGGUGUCAAUCGAGCCACAAAGGGGAAGUGAGUUGGAGAUGAGAUGGGGACAGAAGGUCCUGCUCGGCUGGUUCCAAGACCGUGAGGGAAAGGACUUCCUGUUGUCCGCCGGAGGGGAAAGAGCAGAGAUCCGAGAGACGAAGCAACCAGAGGAGACGGAAAACACGACCCCUGUCCUAUGUACCGGCCACAUCCCCCACAGCUUCUGCGAGGACCAGAUGCAAGCAGCUUGGGGUUAUUAAGAAGAGGGUCAGUAUUGCCCAGAACCGCAAGGUACUCUAUACUGUGUUACAAGAUAUCUGGUGAUUUGUGUGUGUUUUCUGCAAGCAUCUAACUUGUUGUUUGGUGAUACAUAUGUAGACAGGGAAGUCUAAGCAUUCCGACAGUUAGAAAUACAUUUAUUCCAGUUGCAACAAAACUGUACAUAAUGAUGAAUGAAUAUUAACUAAGUCAUUCACACAAACAAAAAAGUAUUGCAGUUAGAGUGAAUAUCCAAUUAUCAGUUCAUGAAGUGAGACAGAUAAAAAACUGAUUCUUAAACAUGAACAAACAGAUAGAAUCUCGGCAUCUCGCACAACUGCGACACCUUCGCCUUAUUGUUGUUACCUAUUCUUCGUCCUUUCUCAUUAUGCCCCUUGAUUCUCUUUAUCCUACCCCUAGAUCGAAUAUCAUUUGGCGGGUGGAUGUUAACUUCAUUAGUAAUGGUGCAGCCAAGAAAUUCUUCAAACUCUUGUAGUACAGUUUGUUGUUUUGCUGGGACAUUCAGUUUGUUGCUUUCCAUCUCUAGAGAAUUGCACAUCUCCUGACUGUUUAGCCUGAAUUUGCACAUUGAGGAUAUAACAGCUCCCCUUCUCAUUCCAUCUUUAAUACAGAACCUACUCGACAGAACAAAGUCGAGGGAAGAAGUAUGCGAGCUCCGUGAUGACUAACUGAUGAAAAUCACAUUUGAGUGGCCCAGUCGUUUGAUCUACUCCAUUGCCACUGUUCCCCUCGUCACAUCUCUGGCUCUCAGAUUGAGUAACCUAUACCAACGUCUACUGCAAACCUACUAGACAGGAUAAAAUCGAGGAAUAAGUAUAUAUAACUCAUGGGUUAAUCAAGGUGAAUAGAUGAUUUACCUACCUGCAAUCAGCUCUGAAUCAGUUUUUUACCUUUUCUUUUCUGUAGGAAGAUAAGAACAAUAUCCAGUUGGAUCCUCUUCUUUUGUACUAGCUUCUGAGGAGCCAAAAUUAGUACACAACAAUGUCUUUUCAGUUUCGUAGAUUUGGUCAUGAUGACAUCGUAGCGCAUGCAAGGGUGCUUGUGCAACUAUAAGUCAAACUACAAAAAUGUACCUUUCUUUGCUUACUUUCGGGUAUGAAUAGCUCAGCUAAUUUUGGGUGAUUCAGAUUACAGUAUCCAGAUUUAUUGGCUCUAUUUUUAUGCAUCUGAAUUUUUGAUGUGCAAAAAUGUUCCUCAAAAGACAUGAGUUGUUGAGCAUCCUGCUUUGUAGUAGGCUUGAUAAUAUUCCAUUUUUUGGAGUACCCUGCUUUAGAUUUUUCUUGUGUGCCUUGUGCAGCCUUUUCAUUCUAGGCAUCAUUUCCCAUUUGUUUGGGAUCCAAUUCUAAAAAUGCUUGGUAGCGUCUGUUUGGCCUUCUAUUAAUCUCCAGAUGAUAGGUGAGGCAUGCAAGUUCAUUCUCUGGUUUCUUAUGAUGCUUGUAAAACCUACUGCCUAUUAGGAUACCUGAUGAAAUGUGCGCACACUUACAAUUUCGGUUGUUGUGGAGUUAAAUCCUAAAUCAAUUUGAUCAGAUGGAUAUAAAAAAUAGCUUUCAGGCAAGCAGACUAUUCUUUAUUUUAGUACAUAAUAGUAUAGCUAAUUAGCUAUAUACAGUGAGUGCAAAAGCUAUUUGUUCGCCACUUAAGCUUAUAUUCUUCUAUUUUCUUUAGCUGUCAUCCUUUUAUGUUUUCUUUAUGCAAUUGUUGGUUGAUCAAGCUGAGGACUUAUCUGUAGUGCUUGGUUUGUUGUAACAUGUUUCAUUUUGCUAAUAAUAGUACACGUGUGUGUGAUUGCUUCAUCAAUUUUUAGAAACAUUUGUUGCCCAGUAGCUUCCAAAUAGCAGUUUAGCUUUCUUAGAUGGAAUUUAUCUAGAAUUUCACAUCUCCUACACUUAUACCUUUUAACAACUUUUAUGGAAUAUGACUCUCCAAAUUUUGUGCUUGCUCUGAACACUCAAUUUGUUCCUUGCUGUUGUGUGCCAUUGCUGUCAUGUUUACUCCAGAAAAAAUGGAAGAACUAUGGAUCAACCAUUUUCAUGGGAUAUUAGAAGUUUUAUGUUGUGAUGUCUUUGAUUUUUGUCUCUCUUCCAGGUUUACAUAAGAGAACCCUUGGUAAGCACUCAAGAAUUUUGUUUUCUGCGCUAUUGACAGCAUUUUUUUUUAAUUUUUAGAAUGAUUCUGAAACUAGGUCACUCCUACUGAUUUUCUCUGGCAGGAUGCUAGGUCAAGGAUGCAGGGUGCGUGAACACUAUGAACGCUUUUAUGUCUCCAGGGAGCAAGGGCUUUGACUCUGUGUUCACGCUGGUGUGAGCUUAGGUUGUUUGAUCGAUCAUUAUCUUGUAAAUACUCCUCGUUGUAAUAUAUAUGCAAUCCUACUACAUGGUUUGAAAAAAAAAUGAUUCUGAAACUGGGGUUUAGAGCAGUGUACGUGUUGGCCACAACUAAAUCUGAUAAUACAUAGAUUUUUUUUCAAAAUACACAUGGGUUUAGCGGGCCUCUGUGACAUUUGGUGCAACUGGCCUCGACGCUGCCACUUGGAUCCCGCUUACAUUAGCCUUGCGCGUCAUGAUGGUGUCCCUUACCAUAAAUACUUGUCAUGUGGAUUCAAUAGAAAUGAUGUUUUAGGCAUGUUUGAUAGUUAUGAAACUAUUUGGUAUUAGUUUGACGGCUUAAUUUGAAGAGAAAUAAAGUCCAUACUUUAUGCUUCCUAAUUUUUCUUUUAUUGUUUU